rnacentral:miRNA from 1 species
AUUUGGCUCUGAAGUCUUGCUG